ACAUUAGUUAAACCACAAACCCUUAGUUACCUUAAAGCCUAAAAGAUAGUCAAUGAGGGCACAGCUUCAUUGACACAGGAAACAACCUUAUUAGAGACAAACUUACACUUACUUCUUCCUAGUAGGCCCUUAAGCAGCCAACAAAAACAAAAUGCGUUACAGCAAAAUACUCACCUAAAUCCCACAUUAUUAACUAAAAACUCCUACCCCCAUAUCGGACAAAUCUAUUUUUAUAGAUACCCUCAUGUUAAAACUAGUAAUAUUAGAGCACGCUCUCUCCGCACAAGUGAACACCAACAGACACCACACGUGAACCCACUCACACCCCCCCCCAACAAGAAAACCCAACCCACUAAAACUGUUAACCCAACCCAGGAGUGCAUAGAGAAGAUUAAAAAUUACAAAAGGAACUCGGCAACCAAAGCCCCAACUGUUUACCAAAAACAUAGCCUUUAGCCCAACAAGUAUUAAAGGUGACGCCUGCCCAGUGAUUUUUUCAACGGCCGCGGGAUCCUACACCGUGCAAAGGUAGCAUAAUCACUUGUCACCUAAAUAGUGACUAGUAUGAAUGGCCCAAUGAGGGCUUUCCUGUCUCUUGUAAUUAAUCUAUGAAACUGAUCUUCCAGUUCAAAAGCUGGAAUAAACCCACAAGACGAAAAGACCCUGUGGAACUUUUAAGUGCCAAUCAAAAACAUGACACAACCACUUUUAGUUGGGGCAACUUUGGAGCAAAACAAAACCUCCAAUUAUGGGAAAAUUACAUAAAGCCAGGUCAACACACCAACCUUUAUUACCCACUAUCGACCCAGUACUACUGAUAAAAGAACCAAGCUACCCCAGGGAUAACAGCGCCAUCCCCUCUUAGAGUCCCAAUCGACGAGCGGGGCUUACGACCUCGAUGUUGGAUCAGGGCCCCCAAACAGUGCAGCAGCUGUUAAAGGUUUGUUUGUUCAACAAUUAAUGCCCU
rnacentral:rRNA from 1 species